rnacentral:tRNA from 1 species
UCCUGUGUGGCUCAGUCGGUAGAGCAUGGCGCUCGAAAUGCCAAAGGUGGUGUGUACGAUUCCCGCUGGAG